AUUGAACGCUGGCGGCAUGCUUUACACAUGCAAGUCGAACGGCAGCGCGGGCUUCGGCCUGGCGGCGAGUGGCGAACGGGUGAGUAAUGCAUCGGAACGUGCCCAGUAGUGGGGGAUAGCCCGGCGAAAGCCGGAUUAAUACCGCAUACGACCUGAGGGUGAAAGCGGGGGACCGAAAGGCCUCGCGCUAUUGGAGCGGCCGAUGUCGGAUUAGCUAGUUGGUGGGGUAAAGGCUUACCAAGGCACGAUCCGUAGCUGGUCUGAGAGGACGACCAGCCACACUGGGACUGAGACACGGCCCAGACUCCUACGGGAGGCAGCAGUGGGGAAUUUUGGACAAUGGGGGCAACCCUGAUCCAGCCAUGCCGCGUGCGGGAAGAAGGCCUUCGGGUUGUAAACCGCUUUUGUUCGGGAAGAAAUCCUCUGGGCUAAUACCCCGGGGGGAUGACGGUACCGGAAGAAUAAGCACCGGCUAACUACGUG
rnacentral:rRNA from 1 species